GGCGUAAAGGGUGUGUAGGCCGACCGCCCCACCCCCCCCCAAGGUGGUAAAUGGAAUUUUUCUGUAGCGGUAGAAUGUGCGGAUAGAAAAUAGAACCCCAAAAGCUGAAGCAAUUUACCGCGGGGCGGGAGGGGGGGCCCCCUGGGGCGCCCCCCCGGGCUACGGGCUGAAACACGAGGGUGUGGGGAACAAACAGGAUUAGAGACCCUGGUAGUCCACACUGUAAACGAUGGAGAAAAUGCGAAUGCAGCCCCGAAAGGCAGCAAUCUCCCGCCUGAGUAGUACGAUCGCAAGAUUAAAAUUCCAAAAAUUUGGCUGUUCACCGUUUCGAUUAGAGGAGCGUGUAGUUUAAUUCGAUAAACCGCGAGAUACCUUACCCAAACUUGAAUCCUUGAGGAUUCCAAGGAAUCCUUAUGGACCGGUAUUGCAUGGCCGUCGUCAGUUCGUGUAUGAAACCUUAAACGGACCCAACCCGAGGAUUAGCCGCGGAUGAAGUCAGGUCUUAUGGUCCCAAUGUUUGGGGAUAAUAUGCGCUACAUUUUCUUAUACAAUGGGAAACCUGGGAGGUGAAACCCAAAAGUGAGAGUUCGGUAGGCUAUUGGAAGAUGGCCGAAAGUUGAAUUUAAUAGUAAUCG
rnacentral:rRNA from 1 species